rnacentral:misc_RNA from 1 species
CCUACGCGUCGACACACCAGUCAGACACAGACAGCACGGCCUAUUUUGCGGUUCGAGCCACCGACAUCACCGCCCUUCUCUCGAGAGGCAACAAUGAGCGCACGCAAGUUUGUUGCCGAGUACGUCUCGCGACACCUGGACGGGCUGACGGUCCUGGCGUCCCUUGCGGACCGGCCUGCCGCCGCCGAAGGGAGCAGCAGUAACAGCGCCGCUGCAAAGCCCGUUAUUUGCACCCACAACGGAAGCUUCCACUGCGACGAGGCGAUGGCGUGCGGUCUGCUCCGCCAUGUGCCCGAGUACCGCGAGGCCGUCAUCCUGCGCACGCGCGACCCAAAGCAAAUCGAUGCCUGCGACAUCGUCGUGGACGUCGGCGCCAUCUACGACGUCGACACGAACCGCUACGACCACCACCAGGCCAGCUUCCACGGCACCAUGACGACACCGAAGAAGGCGUACAAGACGCGCCUCUCUUCUGCCGGUCUCGUGUACAAGCACUUUGGCCGCCAGAUCAUCCGCCAGUACGUCGAGGCGGUGCUGCAGCCAUCUUCGCCGGCGCGCGCGGCGGUGCUGAGCAUGACGAGCUGGUCAGAGAGCCGCACUGGCGUCUCGGACGCGGAGCUCGAUGUCCUGGAGGACGCCCUCUACGCGAAUUUCGUGGAGCAGGUGGACGGCAUCGACAACGGUGUCGAGUGCUGGGGCCUCGCCGAUCCAGCCGUGGGAACUCUCGUGCCCAACUACAAGCAAAGCACGAACCUGUCGCAGCGCAUCGGGCAGCUGCAGGCGUACUGGAACGAGCCGGAGAACGGCGACGUCGUCGCGGAGAACGCGAACUUUGCGGUGGCCGUGGAGAUGGCAGUAACGGAGUUCUUCGGGGCACUCACGUACCUCGCCUUCAGCUGGCUGCCGGCCCGCUCCAUCGUCGAGGCUGCCUUUCAGCGCCGCCACGAGUUCGACGAGAGCGGCAAGAUCAUGGUGUUCAAGGACGUAAAGGUAUGCCCGUGGAAGGACCACCUUCUUGAACUAGAGGCAGAAAGCAACUGCCUUGGCGCCGUGCUCUACGUGGUCUUCUCCGACGGCAAAGGGUGGCGCGUGCAGGCGGUGCCCAAGACAAGUACUAGCUUCGAGAACCGCAAGCCGUUGCCGUACCGCGGCCUGCGCGACGAUGCGCUGAGCGCAGCCUGUGGCAUCGAGGGCGGCGUGUUUGUGCACGUCUCCGGCUUCAUCGGCGGCAUGAAAACGUUUGAUGGUGCCAUGGCGCUGGCGAAGCAGGCGCUGGUGGUGGUGAACUAGUAGAGCGAUGCAGGACAUCGUUACUGGUUGCACGUGAAACGCGCGUUGACGCGCGCGUGCCGUCUCAAACCUCCUACCCACUGUGCGUGUGCCUUACUAAGUAAUCCCUCCCUCUGGACGAAGCACUUGUCGAAGCGCUGUUGUGCGAGAGGUCGCAUUGUGUGUGUGUGUGUGUGUGUGCCUUUUGCGAUUUCUCUUCGUGCACGCUCUUCUCUCUCUCU